rnacentral:lncRNA from 12 species
AUGAAGAAGCUGCGCGUGUUGUUGCUGUGCGCCGUUUUAGCUCUCCUGUGCUGGCACUCUUGUCAUCAUGUUUAUUGUUCAGAAGAGAUCUCCUCUGGCCCAGGACUCCCUGCACAGGAUGACAGCCGUUACGCAACGCAGGACCCAGGGGCCGAUGAAAAGGUUGAAGAGGAAAGGGCAACACACACUCAGUCAUCGUAUGACGUGGGCCUGGAAACAGAAAGAGCUGCGCUAAAGGAAACAUCAUUGAACUCACAAGACGCCCCGCUCGAAGAGAAACACAAACAGACUGUGAAUUUGGAAGAAGUGUUGGAGGAGCCGCAGAUUCAGCUUCAGUCUGCUCUCCCUGUACAAGAACAACAAAAACAGCAGCAGGAGCAGGAGCAGCAACCAGAACCGCAGAGCACCCAACAAUCAGACCAACAACAAUCAGCCCAACCACCAACAGCUACGCAGCCCCAAACAGCACCGCCACUCUCCCAGCCCCAGCCAGACCCUGAAACUCCACAGCCCACUGCCACAGAGGACCAGGCUGCCCACACCUCCACUGCUUUAACCCCUCCACAGACUGACCUGCACAGAGAAGACCCCUCUGCACCUCCUGCUGAACUCCAGAAGAGCCCAGAGUCAGCCUCACCUACCUCAGUCACCUCCUCCGAGAGCUCCUCCAGUGGACUAGAUGUUCCGCGUCCUGAUGCCCCUGUAGAGAACUCUAGUGCCAGUCAGUGUGAGGUGGGCUCUGUGCCCCCCUUCAGCCAGUCCCUUGGCAUCACGCUCCCAAGGUGA